rnacentral:rRNA from 2 species
UAGCAUAAUAAAUUGUUUUUUAAUUGAAAACUGGAAUGAAAGGUUACACGAAUUAUUACUAUAUAAAAUCUAAUUUAUGAACUUUUAUUAUAAGUAAAAAUACUUAUAUAUUGUAAAGGGACGAUAAGACCCUAGAAGCUUCAAUUCUUACUAUAUAAAACAAUUAUAUUUAACUCUUAUAUUUAUAACAAUUUUGGUUGGGGAAACAAAAAUUUUAAAAAUAAUUUUGGUUUAUAAUAACACCAUUAUCUUAGAUCUUUUAAAUAAAAACAAACAGUAAAAGUUACUCUAGGGAUAACAGCGUAAUAAUUUUGGUUAGACCUUAUAUAUAAAAUUGAUUACGACCUCGAUGUUGAAUUAAAAUAUCUUUAUAAAGUAGAAGUUAUAAAAGAAG